rnacentral:piRNA from 1 species
UNCAUGAUACUAGGUGUGGCAUGGCAGC